rnacentral:rRNA from 1 species
GCUUGCUGGUGUGGAUGAGUGGCGAACGGGUGAGUAAUACGUGAGUAACCUGCCCUUGACUCUGGGAUAAGCCCGGGAAACUGGGUCUAAUACUGGAUGCUACAUGUCACCGCAUGGUGGUGUGUGGAAAGGGUUUACUGGUCUUGGAUGGGCUCACGGCCUAUCAGCUUGUUGGUGAGGUAAUGGCUCACCAAGGCGACGACGGGUAGCCGGCCUGAGAGGGUGACCGGCCACACUGGGACUGAGACACGGCCCAGACUCCUACGGGAGGCAGCAGUGGGGAAUAUUGCACAAUGGGCGAAAGCCUGAUGCAGCGACGCCGCGUGAGGGAUGACGGCCUUCGGGUUGUAAACCUCUUUCAGCAGGGAAGAAGCCACAAGUGACGGUACCUGCAGAAGAAGCGCCGGCUAACUACGUGCCAGCAGCCGCGGUAAUACGUAGGGCGCAAGCGUUGUCCGGAAUUAUUGGGCGUAAAGAGCUCGUAGGCGGUUUGUCGCGUCUGCUGUGAAAGCCCGGGGCUUAACCCCGGGUGUGCAGUGGGUACGGGCAGACUAGAGUGCAGUAGGGGAGACUGGAAUUCCUGGUGUAGCGGUGGAAUGCGCAGAUAUCAGGAGGAACACCGAUGGCGAAGGCAGGUCUCUGGGCUGUUACUGACGCUGAGGAGCGAAAGCAUGGGGAGCGAACAGGAUUAGAUACCCUGGUAGU